UACGGAGGGUGCAAGCGUUAAUCGGAAUUACUGGGCGUAAAGCGUGCGCAGGCGGUUUGUUAAGUCUGUUGUGAAAUCCCCGAGCUCAACUUGGGAAUUGCAAUGGAUACUGGCAGGCUGGAGUAUGGUAGAGGAGGGUGGAAUUCCCGGUGUAGCAGUGAAAUGCGUAGAGAUCGGGAGGAACACCAGUGGCGAAGGCGGCCUUCUGGACCAAUACUGACGCUCAUGCACGAAAGCGUGGGGAGCAAACAGG
rnacentral:rRNA from 1 species